AACGAACGCUGGCGGCAUGCCUAACACAUGCAAGUCGAACGAGACCUUCGGGUCUAGUGGCGCACGGGUGCGUAACGCGUGGGAACCUGCCCUUAGGUUCGGAAUAACUCCCCGAAAGGGGUGCUAAUACCGGAUAAUGUCUUCGGACCAAAGAUUUAUCGCCUUUGGAUGGGCCCGCGUUGGAUUAGCUAGUUGGUAGGGUAAAAGCCUACCAAGGCGACGAUCCAUAGCUGGUCUGAGAGGAUGAUCAGCCACACUGGGACUGAGACACGGCCCAGACUCCUACGGGAGGCAGCAGUGGGGAAUAUUGGGCAAUGGGCGAAAGCCUGAUCCAGCAAUGCCGCGUGAGUGAUGAAGGCCUUAGGGUUGUGAAGCUCUUUUACCCGGGAUGAUAAUGACAGUACCGGGAGAAUAAGCUCCGGCUAACUCCGUG
rnacentral:rRNA from 1 species